GAAUUGUUGACGGGAAACGUCAUCCUGGAAAUUCUGGUCAACUACCUGUUAUGUGGAGGGAACGACACGUCGUAAAAACAGCACUCCAGGUUGUAAAAACAUUUAAUGGGCUGCCGAGAGUAUAAGCAAAUACACGCGGCGUGUACUAAGAUAGUGCUUACCAGGAUAGCCUUCCGGGAUGAUUAUUUCCGGACCCACUUUGACGUCGUGACGGCGGCGUUGUGUGCAUCGGGAACGUCCCUGACGUAAUUUUCCUACAGAAGACCUAUCGUGCCGGCCAAGCAAGCACGUAACUCCGUUGGAGAUUUUAAUCGAGCUUAUGAAAGUUUCUGCAUUGCGCGCAACUUUCUAAUGAUAUGAUGAUUAAUUAAAUACCAGGAACAAAGCAGGUAAUUUUAAUUUAAGUAUAAGUUAAUAAGAACUUUCCGUGAGAGGAUCUAAUAUACUCCAACACUUCAGUGAAAGUAAAUCGUUUGUGAAUCCAAUAUUGAGGAUUAACGAUCGUUACUAAUUAACAUUUUGCACAUUUAUAAAGUACUAAGACAAGUACUAUACUAAUAAUUUUUAGGAAUUAUAACUUAAAUUAUGAUUUCCGCGCAUAAUGUAAAGAGCAUAAUAGAGUAUAAUAAUAAAAGCUGGGGUCUACAAGUGAAUGCUUUGAACCAUUCAAUAUUAAUAUCCAUUUUCAAUAACGUAGAUUGAUACAGAUUAACUUUCUCAGAUUAACUUUUAAUUUUUUUUUAAAUUUUAGUAGAACUCUCUCUAGAAGGUAAAGAAAAAAAUUAAAUCCAGCUCAAAGUUAAUCUGUAUGGUGGAAAUGUAUACUUAGCCAAGUGGACCUUAGCCAAUAUUUAAUAAUAGUAUUCCAAACAGCCAAACUUGUCAAGAGCAUGUAUUGCAAACGUGUAUUGUAUGUUGUAUUAGUAGAAAUCUAAUAACAUUCGAGCAGUUUAAUAUCGUAAUAGAUAUCAGAAAAUGACUGGCAAUAUCAUUAUAACAAGGUGCUCUAUUUCUGCUGUUAUGUUAUGGCUGAUAAAUCAUCAUGACAGAAAUUAAGUUCAAAGAACGCACAAUAGCCAGAAAUGUGCUCUACAGUCAUGAAUUUUACUGGCAUACUGUUGGCACACUUGUUCCUUGCUAGAUAAUAUGUUGCUAUCUGGAAUACUUCCUGAAAAUGAGUUCAAGUUAUGAUGCCUAUUUUUAUCUCUUAUUUUCUUGUAAUAUAAUCUAUUCUUUGUUCGUUGCUCCAUGUCCGAAGACAUAAACAGAAAGAACAAAUAUUUAUCAUUGACGAAACUCGACUUCGAACUUUGAACUCCGAUUACGAUGGUCCAUUCUAACCUCUCUAUUUUCGUUACUCUUGCGAUUUUUGAAACACGAUCGCGGAUACUCGGAUUAGAUUCGAUCUCAAUCACUGUUGUAAUUAUCCUACUC